rnacentral:rRNA from 1 species
UACGUAGGGUGCGAGCGUUGUCCGGAAUUAUUGGGCGUAAAGAGCUCGUAGGCGGCUUGUCGCGUCGGAUGUGAAAGCCCGGGGCUUAACUCCGGGUCUGCAUUCGAUACGGGCAGGCUAGAGUUCGGUAGGGGAGAUCGGAAUUCCUGGUGUAGCGGUGAAAUGCGCAGAUAUCAGGAGGAACACCGGUGGCGAAGGCGGAUCUCUGGGCCGAUACUGACGCUGAGACACGAAAGCGUGGGUAGCAAACAGG